GGGAAACCAGCUCCAAGGAGGAGAAUAGAUUGUUCCAAGGCAAACUGGACGUGAGUGGAUGGGCCUCUUCAAAGUGACCUGCAUUAUAAGUAAUCAUGGAAAACAAAUGAGACAGCGUUUAAGAAAACAACUGGACAUUGAAGAGUAUAAUCUCAUUUAAGAUACUAGAAAGAAAAUUAAAAGGCCAGAGAUCAGAGCAGAAAAUGCUAAUUCAAAGGCUGAGCAUGGCAUGGUUUGAAGCUUUUGUCGGCCUGGCGAGAUGGUUUGGAAUUCGAUGGUUUAUUCAAGGGGUUUCUUCUGCCUAUGCAGGUUUUAAUUCUUAAAGGUCAAUCCAAGAAGCUUUGCAGCUUUACAUAUCUGGCCACCCAGAGGACAGUUUUCAGGUCUUGAAGAGACCUGUUGGGAUAAACACAUUCAAGAUAAUAGCAUUGGAGCAGGACAAAAGCAACAUCAUUGUGAAAAUGCCUUCAACCUGAAACAUUCUGAUGGAACUAUGCAUGAACAAUGGACACAAAACUGCCUAAUGUGGUAUGUAAAGAUAGCAAUAACCCUUAAUGGCAACUGUAAAAUGAAGCAUUAUGUUAGCCAGCAGAAAGGAAAAUGCAAAUUGAUUCUCUUUUUGUUUAGGUGUAAGUGCUUAUCAAGGUUAGUAGGUAUUCAAGGUCUGCGACACCAGAAUAAUUUGUUUUGUUAUAAUACAUGUAAAAGAAGAGCACUUGGGGCUUUCUGAGUGACUCAGAUGGCCAGAUAAAAUUGCACAGCCUGGGAUUUAACAAUCUUCUCUCAACAUAUCUCCUACUCUCUCUGAUGGAAGGGAAGGAGAUUCGGAACUGAAACGCUUUCAAAAGUGAGAUGGUAGAAUUAAUCGUUAUAAUGGAUGAUAGCUGGUAAUAUUUCAUCCCUCAGUGAGAUUACAGAAUUGACACUUGCAUUUUUACUUGAACUAUGUCAUAGCUGCCUAAUAAGCAAAGGCUUUCCAAGCUCCUUGUCUCCGGUACCUGGACAUUGGCAAGAUGUUCGUUCUUGAUUCUCUCCAAUCACAGAGGUUCAUUGGACAGAGAGAUUAGGGUGUAUGCGAAUCAGUUUGGCUGGACUAUAAACCAUACAUAGCUCAACCACCAGAUCUCCAUCACUACCAGAUCUAAAGUCUAUAGAACCCUUUCUUCUGGCCCUGUUGCCACCCUUGAAUAACAGCUUAAUCUAUGGAUGCUGUCAUGGAAUGACACCUAUUGUUGGAUGAAGCAGUUUUUGGCAAUGCCUUGAUGCAUCUCUAUCCAGAUGGUGGCUCAGGAAGAGGGAAGCUGGGAGGGCAGAAGGAAUCACACUGAUGGGCAAACCUUUUCAUUUGGAAAACUGAGCCACUGUGAGAGCUACCGAAUGUCUUCUUUGAAUACAACUUAUCUCUAAUGACAAAGCUAGUUUAUGAAGAUGUUGGCAAUGCUCAGAAUUCUCUUUGAGCUGUUAGGUAGAUGCAAAAUGCAACUGGUUGUUCUUAAGCUCAUUAAUGAAACAGACAAAGCCAGCUCCAUAUGUGUGAACUUAAAUGCAGAAAUGGAUACAUCUCCCCAAUUCUUAAGAUUUUGGUUAUUAGGAUCUUGCUUUGGGUAAAUUACUGAGCGAAAUCAUCUUUAUAAACAAUUGGGCCUUUUAUAGGCCCAACUUGGUGAGUGGUAGAAUGAUGGAAUUAGCUAGUUAUUUACUACUCCAUGGCAUUGUAUAGGAGUGAUACCAAAAACAUGCAUGAUAUAGUCACUUUCCUCAGGGAACUUAAAAUCUAAUUUUUGGCUGGAUGGUUUCUGUCCUCUCAUGCAAUUGCUCUUAAAAUAAAUAGGGCAUUUUUUUUUUUCUCUUGGGAAUUCAUCAUUAUCUGUCAAGGGAAAAUAAAUCACCAAGAAGAUUUAUACUGAUUAAGAAAAUAAAAGAUAAAAAUAAAACAAACUGUAUUGGUGGUUUCUUUGGUUUUCUAUCAGCAUAAAAGAACUUGAGCUAGCUUAAAAAAAAAAAGGAUGUAAGGAUACGGAAGGUGUUAUGGAGGGACUGAAUCAAAUGGCCUCGGAAAGAGUAGAAACAUGUCAGUCAUGGGACCUCAAAGGGCAAUUGAUUCUGGGAACUUUCUCUUGAGACAUACGAUUAGUUAGCUCAGCUCCCAGUAUUUCUCUGUUAAAAUAAAGACAUUCCUUAAAAAGAGAACCUGAUUGGCCUAACUUGGGUCUCACCCAAGAUAGUGUCCAAAGAAGCAGGAUGAUAAAACUCACACAUGGCCACUGAGGGACCUUUCCUGGGCUGAGGGGAAGUUUCCAAGGAAGGGAAAAGUGUGAGUUAGAUAGACACCCCAAAAUAUGUCACGUACAAUGGUGGAAUAGUAAGGGUUCUCAUUCUUUGCAAACACUGAUCCCAUUUAAGAGGGACAAAUGCUGGCACGAUGACAAUUUCAG